CGGAGCUCAAGAGGAUAGUAGAGAUUGUGGAAGAAGGACCUGUGAGGAUUGUCAUGUGACAGCUGUGAGCGGUACUCAGCAGCGUAGAGGUGCAGUGUUAUGGCUAAGGACUAUCCCCUCCAGCUGACCCAGUUGUCUCCUCUUCUCCUGAAUGAUCCCCCAAGGAUGGACAAGGACAGGAAUGAGAUGACUAAGAGAAUAUUACACUUCACCUUGGAGAUCCUCCACCUGCUGACCGGAGAGGUGAGGUGACCCAUCUACAUUUCCACCAUUGUUGUCCCCAUCUACAUUUCCACCAUUGUUGUCCCCAUCUACAUUUCCACCAUUGUUGUCCCCAUCUACAUUUCCACCAUUGUUGUCCCCCAUCUACAUUUCCACCACUGUUGUCCUCCAUCUACAUUUCCACCAUUGUUGUCCUCAUCUACAUUUCCACCAUUGUUGUCCCCAUCUACAUUUCCACCAUUGUUCUCCCCAUCUACAUUUCCACCAUUGUUGUCCCCAUCUACAUUUCCACCAUUGUUGUCCCCCAUCUACAUUUCCACCAUUGUUGGCCCCCAUCUACAUUUCCACCAUUGUUGGCCCCAUCUACAUUUCCACCAUUGUUGUCCCCCCAUCUACAUUUCCACCAUUGUUGUCCCCAUCUACAUUUCCACCAUUGUUGUCCCUCAUCUACAUUUCCACCAUUGUUGUCCCCAUCUACAUUUCCACCAUUGUUGUCCCCAUCUACAUUUCCACCAUUGUUGUCCCCCCAUCUACAUUUCCACCAUUGUUGUCCCCAUCUACAUUUCCACCAUUGUUGUCCCUCAUCUACAUUUCCACCAUUGUUGUCCCCAUCUACAUUUCCACCAUUGUUGUCCCCAUCUACAUUUCCACCAUUGUUGUCCCUCAUCUACAUUUCCACCAUUGUUGUCCCCCAUCUACAUUUCCACCAUUGUUGUCCCCC